rnacentral:lncRNA from 1 species
UACCGAACUUCAUCAAGUUCGACCUUAGAGGCAACAGUCCCUUCACCAAGGAACUUCUUUUCCAAAAAGAUUGCCUUAAGGCAGACAAACACUUUUUGCUCAUCAGCUAGGUAGAAGUAAUAUCUUUUGGUCUCUUUUGGGUACCCUAUAAAAUUAUACUUGUCAGACCUAGGUCCAAGCUUGUCCGUAAUUAAACGUUUAACAU